AACAAACAAAAAACCAACCUGGCUAUUCCUAGGAAUGAUAAAAUAUCUUCCUUUGUAGAAGGAACAGUUAGAGAAUGGAUCAGAAUCUUUCUAUCUAGGGUAAUAGCUUUUUAGGUUGGGGUAAUUGUUCGUCCCAAAUAGAUGACCAAAGGACUGGACUUUAGAAGGUGAGACCCUGUAACCUUUACUGAAAAUGAAAUUCAGAAGAGCAGAGGUGUCAGUUUGGCAAAUUUUUUGAGAGGGGUUACACAGAAGAAUGCAAUCUAUAUAGUGGACAGUCCUAGAUUUAGGGAGAGAAAGAGAGAAGGUAAUUCAGAAACCAGGGCCUGGCCAAAUUGGUGUGGGCUGUGCUGGAAUCUCUGAGGUAGAACAGUCCAGGUAAGUUGUGUAGAAAAGUGGGUGUCAGGAUCUGUUCAGGAAAAGGCAAAUAUGUUCUGUGACUGGGUAUCUAGAGGGAUAGAGAAAGUAGCAUCCGGAGAUCUAAGAUUGAGAAAUGAGAAUUCCCCAAGGGGAUAGUGGGAAGAAGUGUAUAAGGAUUAGCCACAACAGGAUGUACAGGAACUAUGGCAGAAUUAAUGGACCUGAGGUUUUGAACCAGGAGAUAGGUUCCACUAAGUUUCCUAACUGCUAAUGUAGGGGUUUUAAAGGGGGAAGAGGUAGGGCAAAGGAGGUUUUUCCUUAAGAGAUCAGAGGUGAUAUACUUAAGGCCCCUGAGGCUCUGGAGUGAAAGCAGGUAUUGAGGUUGGGUGAUGUACCUGGUAGAAUUCAGUAAUUGCUUGACAACAGGAGAAUGUUUAGCAGCAGAGGGGUUCUGGACAUCCCUGACAAGGAGGUCUACUUGAGAAGCUGGCCAGAAGUCAACUUGCAUUAGAAAAUGUGCUAUUACCAAGAAGCAUGUCACCAAGACAACCGAAUAGAACUGUCCAGAGUAUGUCCUUCUGCAGAAAUAUCAAUUGAGACAACUAUCCAGGCAUGAAAUACCUUCAUAAGAACUAAACAAAACAGGGAAAGCUCCUUAAACCAGAAGAGAGUUGUGGCAAAAAAAGACACACUCAACCAAGAGUUGCGAUGAAAGCAAUGUGUCACAUGAAUUGCCAAUACUUACACUAGUUAAAAGAAGAAAGAAACAAAAGAAAAUAGAGCAUCAUUAUAUAAAAGAGUCAACUUAUCAAGCAGAACCAUCCCUUUAUUCUUCUUCUUUCCCCUACAAUGAAGUGAUUCUUUACAACAUCCUGUGCUCCUUUUAAAGCCCAUUGGUUCCUUGUGGUGCUGUCAGAAUGUACAUGAGGAACGUCUACUGAAGAAAGGAAAGCCUCUCAGAAGCCAAAUACCUGAAGAAAACUCACUCUGCCUCUCAUAAGAAUCCAUCAGUGGCCAAUAUCACCUCAGUGUUUCCACAGGACGUAUCCCAGAUGAUUGAGUCGGGGGAAAGUCUACAAAAGUUUGGAUGUUGAUUAUUUCCUAAUAUCCCAGAAAUGAGAGGAAAGCCUAAACAUGAUCUAGGAUUAAGGAUACCAGCUUUUGCAGAAGAACUAAAACAACUACCCAUGUCUAAACAAGCAACUACUAGACUCUUGGGCUUCCCAUUCACAACUGCCCAUUGUUGGGUUAGCUGGACUACUGACUAGUCACCAGCCAACAAACAGGCAUUAAAUUCACCAUCCUAAGGAAAUUAUUCAUACUCAAAACAUAACAGCCAAAAGUCAUGCACUUGAAGACUUCUGUCUCUACUCCUCUAUUCUACGGAUAAAGUGAAACCAUAACUUUCAGGAAAAGAAAACAUGAGCCUGACAAGAUCUUCCUGGCUGUUGACCUGCGCAGCUGGAGAAAUCACUAUUGCAGCACAGCUGGACCUGUGGGUUGUGAGAGCUGUGGCUUCGACUUUUACAGAAAAGAUUCUGCUGAAGAGAAUGAGAAGGAAGAGCAUACAUGGCCAAGAACCUGCAGGGUAUAAAAGACCCCAGCACCCAGAUGGAAAGGUGGAGCCCACCCUCUCCCAAAAUACUUCAUUUCUCCAAAAAAAAGAGAAGUCAAUGGGAGAUAUGAAGCCUGAACUAACCAUGCAAGGAUCCCCAGGUUGUGACUAUGACACCAACCCAGUCACAAAACCUUCAACUUACAUUUGUUCUGCCUGGAAAAUGAACUAGGGUAAUGGUGACUCUCAGAAGGUGCGUGAAUGAUCAACCAAUUUUCAGUUUAACUUGAGGUCCAUACCACUAGAGGGAUCCCAUACCCAGCACAGCUUAGAUAGACUGAAAUAGACACUGGAGAGCCCAGAAACCUAAGAUAGAAACUAACACUUCCCAUCCCACCAAUCCACACCAUACCCUGCCCCCAAAAUCAAUGAAAUUAUUUCCAAUGAUAUCAUGCUAUACUCAUUGAUCUAUGCCCAGCCCAACUGUGAUCCGAGAUGUUUCCUCCAAUAACUAAUUAAAACAGAUAUAGAGACACAUUGCCAAAGUUAUGGCAGAGCUCUGCGAACCCUGUGGAAAAUUGGGAGGAAACAUUGUAGGAACGAGAAGGAUCAAGGACACUCCUAGAACAUAGCUAACAGAAUCAACUACACAGGGCUUAUGGGAGCACACAGAGACUGCAUUGACAAUCACAGAGCUUGUUUGAGACUACACUAAGUCCUACACAUAAAUGUUUGGUUGUGUAGCUCGUUCUUCAUGUGGAACUCCUAAGUUAUUCUGUGGCAGUUGAAGAGGGAUAUGUCUGACUAUUUUGCUUGCUUUAGAGACCCUUGUUUCCUACUGGGUUGCCUCAUCUAGGCUUGAUAUGAAGAUUUGUGCCUAGAACAAUUGUAACUUUUAUGCAGCCUUCAGUUGCUAUCCCUGGGAAGCAGGUUCUUUUUCUAAGUGUGGUGGAGGUGUGGGGAGGUGAAGGGAGAUGGGGAGAAGGAAAGAAAGGUGGAGAUAUAGUGUCUGAAUGAAGAAUAAAUUACAAUGGUGGUGGUAGGGGGAAUCAAAGCAGGAUUCAAGAUAGGAACCCAGAGACAGGAACUGAUGCAGGGACAGUGGUGGAGUGCCACACACUGCCUUGCUCCUUAUCGUUUAAUUAGCCAGCUUCCUUACACAAUGCCACCUGCCCAGGGGUAUAGUCUGCAAGAAGCUUAACCCUUCAAUAUCAGUCAUUAGUCAAGACAAUACUCAACAGGGAAGCCUAAGCUAGUCAUUUGUUGGCCUUUUCUCAGUUAAGAUGAACUUUUCCCAGGCAUGUCUAGGUGGGUGUCAAACUGACAAAACCUGGCCAGCACACUUUGGUUCCUGUGUUAUUAUGUUAUGGGAAGGGGUGAACUUCCUGACAUGAGUGAGUCCCAGUAAGAAAGGGUCAGAGAUAAAAUCUUAACUCCAAAGAGAAAAAUAUGUAAACAGUGAAAGAGAAAAUAA
rnacentral:sRNA from 1 species